rnacentral:rRNA from 1 species
GUGUCAGCAGCCGCGGUAAUACGUAGGGAGCAAGCGUUGUUCGGAAUUAUUGGGCGUAAAGAGCGCGUAGGCGGUUCGGUAAGUCUGACGUGAAAUCCCGGAGCUUAACUCCGGAACUGCGUUGGAUACUGCCGGGCUUGAGUGUGGGAGAGGAGAGUGGAAUUCCCAGUGUAGAGGUGAAAUUCGUAGAUAUUGGGAGGAACACCCGUGGCGAAGGCGGCUCUCUGGACCACAACUGACGCUGAGGCGCGAAAGCUAGGGGAGCAAACGGGAUUAGAUACCCCCGUAGUCC